GACGAACGCUGGCGGCGUGCCUAAUACAUGCAAGUAGAACGCAGUGGCGAACGGGUGAGUAACGCGUAGGUAACUGCCUCAUAGCGGGGGAUAAAUAUUGGAAACGAUAGCUAAUACCGCAUACUGUGCGAUGGACCUGCGUUGUAUUAGCGAGUUGGUGAGGUAAAGGCUCACCAAGGCGACGAAACAUAGCCGACCUGAGAGGGUGAUCGGCCACACUGGGACUGAGACACGCCCCCGACUCCUACGGGAGGCAGCAGUAGGGAAUCUUCGGGCAUGGGCGGCAGUCUUACCGAGCUACGCCGCGUGAGUAAAGAAGGUUUUCGGGUCGGAAAGCUCUGUUUUUAGGGAAUCGGUAACUAACCAGAAAGGGACGGCUAACUACGUGCCAGCAGCCGCGGUAAUUC
rnacentral:rRNA from 1 species